rnacentral:rRNA from 1 species
UACAGAGGUCUCGAGCGUUAGGCGGAAUCACUGGGCUUAAAGCGUGUGUAGGUGGAUCGUUAAGUACCUUGUGAAAUCCCACGGCUUAACCGUGGAACUGCUUGGUAUACUGGCGGUCUUGAGCCAGCUAGGGGCUACCGGAACAAAUGGUGGAGCGGUGAAAUGCGUAGAUAUCAAGUGGAACACCAGUGGCGAAGGCGAAUCCCUGGAAAAUACCUGACACUGAGGCACGAAAGCUAGGGGAGCAAACAGG